rnacentral:rRNA from 1 species
UAUCUCUGUAGAGUCUGCAUAUCAAUAAGCGGAGGAAAAGAAACUAACAAGGAUUCCCUUAGUAACGGCGAGUGAAGCGGGAAGAGCUCAAAUUUGAAAUCUUCAAGGUUUUACCUUGACGAAUUGUAGUUUAAAGAAGUGUUUUCUGUUGAAGUUUCGGUAAAAGUUCUUUGGAAUAGGACAUCAUAGAGGGUGAGAAUCCCGUAUUUGACCGUUAUUUUCAGCUGUGUGAUACACUUUCUAAGAGUCGGAUUGUUUGGGAAUGCAGUCCAAAAUGGGUGGUAAAUUUCAUCUAAAGCUAAAUAUUGGCGAGAGACCGAUAGCGAACAAGUACCGUGAGGGAAAGAUGAAAAGAACUUUGAAAAGAGAGUUAAACAGUACGUGAAAUUGUCAAAAGGGAAGCGUUUGACACCAGUGUUGUUUUCUCGAAAAUCAAUUAAAAAUGGCUUGAUUUUGUGUUGUAUUGACCUUAAAAGCUUUCUUCACUUUUUUCAUGUCUUUUUUAAUGCACUUUUCGUUUAACAAGUCAACAUCAGUUUCUUUUGUUGUAAAAAGGUCAUUGGAAGGUGGCUUUCUUUUCGGAGAAAGUGUUUAUAGCCUUUGACUCUGCAAUCGGAGAGACUGAGGUCUGCAGCGUAGAUCCUUCUUGGAUUAGAUUCAUUUGUGCUAAGUUAUAGCUUUUAUAGACAACAUGUUGACUAUAGUUUAGUCAUGUAGCUUACUCGCUUAUGUAAUUUUACCUACGCUUAGGAUGUUGAUCUCUCACAGUCGAGC